rnacentral:rRNA from 1 species
UUAGCGGCGGACGGGUGAGUAACACGUGGGUAACCUGCCUGUAAGACUGGGAUAACUCCGGGAAACCGGGGCUAAUACCGGAUGGUUGUUUGAACCGCAUGGUUCAAACAUAAAAGGUGGCUUCGGCUACCACUUACAGAUGGACCCGCGGCGCAUUAGCUAGUUGGUGAGGUAAUGGCUCACCAAGGCAACGAUGCGUAGCCGACCUGAGAGGGUGAUCGGCCACACUGGGACUGAGACACGGCCCAGACUCCUACGGGAGGCAGCAGUAGGGAAUCUUCCGCAAUGGACGAAAGUCUGACGGAGCAACGCCGCGUGAGUGAUGAAGGUUUUCGGAUCGUAAAGCUCUGUUGUUAGGGAAGAACAAGUACCGUUCGAAUAGGGCGGUACCUUGACGGUACCUAACCAGAAAGCCACGGCUAACUACGUGCCAGCAGCCGCGGUAAUACGUAGGUGGCAAGCGUUGUCCGGAAUUAUUGGGCGUAAAGGGCUCGCAGGCGGUUUCUUAAGUCUGAUGUGAAAGCCCCCGGCUCAACCGGGGAGGGUCAUUGGAAACUGGGGAACUUGAGUGCAGAAGAGGAGAGUGGAAUUCCACGUGUAGCGGUGAAAUGCGUAGAGAUGUGGAGGAACACCAGUGGCGAAGGCGACUCUCUGGUCUGUAACUGACGCUGAGGAGCGAAAGCGUGGGGAGCGAACAGGAUUAGAUACCCUGGUAGUCCACGCCGUAAACGAUGAGUGCUAAGUGUUAGGGGGUUUCCGCCCCUUAGUGCUGCAGCUAACGCAUUAAGCACUCCGCCUGGGGAGUACGGUCGCAAGACUGAAACUCAAAGGAAUUGACGGGGGCCC